rnacentral:miRNA from 1 species
UCUGGCGAGGGACAUACACUGU